GUGUACCUCGCAGCCCUUCUCCUUUAAUUCUUUGGGUGUUGGUCCACUUGGAAGGAACUUAUAAACAUCUGAUCUCAUUUUUUCUUAAAUGUUCCCAUCCAUUUCUCAUCACCAGUGAAACUGAUCAAUGCACUAUGUUACUAUUCUGAUUAGUGAUGUAAACUAAAAGAUAGUCUUGAGAUAGCAAAAAAGAGAGUUAUUUCUCGACUCUAUGAGUGGUUGGUUUGGUUACUCAUUUUUUCUUAAAU
rnacentral:misc_RNA from 1 species